AGUGAACGCUGGCGGUAGGCUUAACACAUGCAAGUCGAACGGCAGCACAGUAAGAUCUUGCUCUUACGGGUGGCGAGUGGCGGACGGGUGAGGAAUACAUCGGAAUCUACAUUUUCGGGUGGGAUAAGGUAGGGAAACUUACGCUAAUACCGCAUACGACCUACGGGUGAAAGCAUGGGAUCUUCGGACCUUGCGCGAAUGAAUGAGCCGAUGUCGGAUUAGCUAGUUGGCGGGGUAAAGGCCAACCAAGGCGACGAUCCGUAGCUGGUCUGAGAGGAUGAUCGGCCACACUGGAACUGAGACACGGUCCAGACGCCUACGGGAGGCAGCAGUGGGGAAUAUUAGGCAAUGGGCGCAAGCCUGAUCCAGCCAUACCGCGUGUGUGAAGAAGGCCUUCGGGUUGUAAAGCCCUUUUGUUGGGAAAGAAAAGCAGUAGGUUAAUACCACGCUGUUGUGACGGUACCCAAAGAAUAAGCACCGGCUAACUUCGUG
rnacentral:rRNA from 1 species